GACGAACGCUGGCGGCGUGCUUAACACAUGCAAGUCGAACGAAGAGCGAUGGAAGCUUGCUUCUAUCACUCUUAGUGGCGAACGGGUGAGUAACGCGUAAUCAACCUGCCCUUCAGAGGGGGACAACAGUUGGAAACGACUGCUAAUACCGCAUACGAUCUAAUCUCGGCAUCGAGGAUAGAUGAAAGGUGGCCUCUACAUGUAAGCUAUCACUGAAGGAGGGGAUUGCGUCUGAUUAGCUAGUUGGAGGGGUAACGGCCCACCAAGGCGAUGAUCAGUAGCCGGUCUGAGAGGAUGAACGGCCACAUUGGGACUGAGACACGGCCCAGACUCCUACGGGAGGCAGCAGUGGGGAAUCUUCCGCAACGGACGAAAGUCUGACGGAGCAACGCCGCGUGAGCGAUGACGGCCUUCGGGUUGUAAAGCUCUGUUAAUCGGGACGAAAGGCCUUCUUGCGAAUAGUGAGAAGGAUUGACGGUACCGGAAUAGAAAGCCACGGCUAACUACGUG
rnacentral:rRNA from 1 species